AACUCAUUCCUUAGUACGGCGAGUGAAGCGGGAAGAGCUCAAAUUUGAAAUCUUCAAGGUUUUACCUUGACGAAUUGUAGUUUAAAGAAGUGUUUUCUGUUGAAGUUUUGGUAAAAGUUCUUUGGAAUAGGACAUCAUAGAGGGUGAGAAUCCCGUAUUUGACCAUUAUUUUCAGCUGUGUGAUACACUUUCAAAGAGUCGGAUUGUUUGGGAAUGCAGUCCAAAAUGGGUGGUAAAUUUCAUCUAAAGCUAAAUAUUGGCGAGAGACCGAUAGCGAACAAGUACCGUGAGGGAAAGAUGAAAAGAACUUUGAAAAGAGAGUUAAACAGUACGUGAAAUUGUCAAAAGGGAAGCGUUUGACACCAGUGUUGUUUUCUCGAAAAUCAAUUAAAAAAAGUUGGAUUUUGUGUUGUAUUGACCUUAACAGCUUGCUUCACUCUUUUCCUGCUUUUUUUAAUGCACUUUUCGUUUAACAAGUCAACAUCAGUUUCUUUUGUUGUAAAAGGGUCAUUGGAAGGUGGCUUUCUCUUCGGAGAAAGUGUUUAUAGCCUUUGAUCUCUGCAAUCGGAGAGACUGAGGUCUGCAGCGUAGAUCCUUCGGGGUUAGAUACAUUUGUGCUAAGCUACAGCUUUUCAUAGACAACUUGUUGACUAUGUUUAGUCUUGUGACUUACCCGCUUAUGCUAUUUUACCUACGCUUAGGAUGUUGACAAAAUGGUUUUAAACGACCCGUCUGA
rnacentral:rRNA from 1 species